rnacentral:rRNA from 1 species
UACGUAGGGUGCAAGCGUUGUCCGGAAUUAUUGGGCGUAAAGAGCGUGUAGGCGGCCCGAUUAGUCCGCUGUGAAAGUCCAGGGCUCAACCCUGGAAUGCCGGUGGAUACUGUCGGGCUAGAGUCCGGAAGGGGCGAGUGGAAUUCCUGGUGUAGCGGUGAAAUGUGCAGAUAUCAGGAGGAACACCAAUGGCGAAGGCGGUUCUCUGGGCAUGUCCUGACGCUGAGGAGCGAAAGUGUGGGGAGCGAACAGG